GGAUGCAAUCAUACCAGCACUAAAGCACCGGAUCCCAUCAGAACUCCAAAAUUAAGCGUGCUUGGGCGAGAGUAGUACUAGGAUGGGUGACCUCCUGGGAAGUCCUUGUGUUGCAUUCCC
rnacentral:rRNA from 1 species